GACGAACGCUGACGGCGUGCUUAACACAUGCAAGUCGAAGGGAGUGGCGAACGGGUGAGUCACACGUGAGUAACCUGCCCUUUUCUUUUGGAUCAGCCUGGGAAACUGGGUCUAAUACUGGAUGGUUUGGGAUGGGCUCGCGGCUUCUCUGCUUGUUGGUGGGGUGAUGGCUUACCAAGGCUUUGACGGGUAGCCGGCCUGAGUGGGUGGGCGGGCACACUGAGACUGGGGUACGUCCAAGACUCCUAAGGGAGGCAGCAGUGGCGGAAAUUGCAAAAAGGACGAAAGGCGGAUGCAGCGUCGUCGUGUGGGGGGUGAAGGCCGUCGGGUUGUAAACUUCGUGCGGCCACGGAAGGGUAGUGGGUAAAGAAGCGCCGGCUAACUACGUGCCAGCAGCCGCGGUAAUAC
rnacentral:rRNA from 1 species